GAUCCUGGCUCAGAUUGAACGCUGGCGGCAUGCCUUACACAUGCAAGUCGAACGGCAGCACGGACUUCGGUCUGGUGGCGAGUGGCGAACGGGUGAGUAAUGUAUCGGAACGUGCCUGGUAGUGGGGGAUAACUAGUCGAAAGAUUAGCUAAUACCGCAUACGACCUACAGGUGAAAGCAGGGGACCUUCGGGCCUUGUGCUAUCAGAGCGGCCGAUAUCUGAUUAGCUAGUUGGUGGGGUAAAGGCCCACCAAGGCGACGAUCAGUAGCUGGUUUGAGAGAACGACCAGUCACACUGGAACUGAGACACGGUCCAGACUCCUACGGGAGGCAGCAGUGGGGAAUAUUGGACAAUGGGGGCAACCCUGAUCCAGCCAUGCCGCGUGUGUGAAGAAGGCCUUCGGGUUGUAAAGCACUUUAAGUGGGGAGGAAGGCUCGCUGGUUAAUAGUCAGCGGGAGUGACGUUACCCACAGAAUAAGCACCGGCAAACUCCGUG
rnacentral:rRNA from 1 species